ACCAUGGAACUGUUCUGUGACUGUGUCCAGAGCACCCAAAUUACAAUUGAAUCUGUGAAAUGCUUGUUAUUCUGCAUAAAUAGGUGCAGCUGUAAGUGCAUGUGAAAUCAGCUCAUGAUUAGUUAGAAAAGCAGUGAUGCAGUUCAGUGGGACUGGCUGAUGGCUUUUUCAGCCCAUUAAAAGGAAGAAGAAAUUGAGUUCCAGGGCCAAAUGGCAGAACAUUACCUAAGAUAUUAAAAACGACCAAAAAACAACAAAGGAAAAGAUCAUAGUUGCAAUUAAUCACAAGCCUUAAAAUAUUCAAGGAGAAAAAGUGGGAAGGAGACAAAAUAAUUAAUAGCAUGAAGAAAUGAAAAUUCUCAGUCCUGAGGUACGAGGACAGGGACACUUAAUGGAACAGAAAGCAGCAGAACUGCUGGAAGCACCUACUUAUCCCAAAAGCCAUUAGCUGAGGAGACUCAUUGUCACCACAGGUUAUUAACGUGAGGAGCUCAGCAGGAGCCCUUUGAAGAGCUGCUAUGUUGAUGAGUGGAUUCAGAAUUCAUAAAAAAAUAUUAAUGGAAUAAAACUGAAAGCCCACAAAGCUUUUAA